GGCGGCAUGCCUUACACAUGCAAGUCGAACGGCAGCACGGGUGCUUGCACCUGGUGGCGAGUGGCGAACGGGUGAGUAAUACAUCGGAACAUGUCCUGUAGUGGGGGAUAGCCCGGCGAAAGCCGGAUUAAUACCGCAUACGAUCUACGGAUGAAAGCGGGGGACCUUCGGGCCUCGCGCUAUAGGGUUGGCCGAUGGCUGAUUAGCUAGUUGGUGGGGUAAAGGCCUACCAAGGCGACGAUCAGUAGCUGGUCUGAGAGGACGACCAGCCACACUGGGGCUGAGACACGGCCCAGACUCCUACGGGAGGCGGCAGUGGGGAAUUUUGGACAAUGGGCGAAAGCCUGAUCCAGCAAUGCCGCGUGUGUGAAGAAGGCCUUCGGGUUGUAAAGCACUUUUGUCCGGAAAGAAAUCCUUGGCUCUAAUACAGUCGGGGGAUGACGGUACCGGAAGAAUAAGCACCGGCUAACUACGUGCCAGCAGCCGCGGUAAUACGUAGGGUGCGAGCGUUAAUCGGAAUUACUGGGCGUAAAGCGUGCGCAGGCGGUUUGCUAAGACCGAUGUGAAAUCCCCGGGCUCAACCUGGGAACUGCAUUGGUGACUGGCAGGCUAGAGUAUGGCAGAGGGGGGUAGAAUUCCACGUGUAGCAGUGAAAUGCGUAGAGAUGUGGAGGAAUACCGAUGGCGAAGGCAGCCCCCUGGGCCAAUACUGACGCUCAUGCACGAAAGCGUGGGGAGCAAACAGGAUUAGAUACCCUGGUAGUCCACGCCCUAAACGAUGUCAACUAGUUGUUGGGGAUUCAUUUCCUUAGUAACGUAGCUAACGCGUGAAGUUGACCGCCUGGGGAGUACGGUCGCAAGAUUAAAACUCAAAGGAAUUGACGGGGACCCGCACAAGCGGUGGAUGAUGUGGAUUAAUUCGAUGCAACGCGAAAAACCUUACCUACCCUUGACAUGGUCGGAAUCCCGCUGAGAGGUGGGAGUGCUCGAAAGAGAACCGGCGCACAGGUGCUGCAUGGCUGUCGUCAGCUCGUGUCGUGAGAUGUUGGGUUAAGUCCCGCAACGAGCGCAACCCUUGUCCUUAGUUGCUACGCAAGAGCACUCUAAGGAGACUGCCGGUGACAAACCGGAGGAAGGUGGGGAUGACGUCAAGUCCUCAUGGCCCUUAUGGGUAGGGCUUCACACGUCAUACAAUGGUCGGAACAGAGGGUUGCCAACCCGCGAGGGGGAGCUAAUCCCAGAAAACCGAUCGUAGUCCGGAUUGCACUCUGCAACUCGAGUGCAUGAAGCUGGAAUCGCUAGUAAUCGCGGAUCAGCAUGCCGCGGUGAAUACGUUCCCGGGUCUUGUACACACCGCCCGUCACACCAUGGGAGUGGGUUUUACCAGAAGUGGCUAGUCUAACCGCAAGGAGGACGGUCACCACGGUAGGAUUCAUGACUGGGGUGAAGUCAUAACA
rnacentral:rRNA from 1 species